rnacentral:rRNA from 1 species
UACGAGAGGUGCAAGCGUUAUUCGGAAUUAUUGGGCGUAAAGGGCGCGUAGGCGGCUUGUUAAGUUUGUUGUUAAAGACCUUGGCUUAACUGAGGAAAAGCAACAAAAACUGGCGAGCUAGAGGGUGAUAGAGAGAAGUGGAAUUCCCGGAGUAGCGGUAAAAUGCGUAGAUCUCGGGAGGAACACCAAUGGCGAAGGCUGCUUCUUGGUUCACUACUGACGCUGAGGCGCGAAAGCGUGGGGAGCAAACAGG